rnacentral:rRNA from 1 species
AUUGAACGCUGGCGGCAGGCCUAACACAUGCAAGUCGAGCGGAUGAGUGGAGCUUGCUCCAUGAUUCAGCGGCGGACGGGUGAGUAAUGCCUAGGAAUCUGCCUGGUAGUGGGGGACAACGUUUCGAAAGGAACGCUAAUACCGCAUACGUCCUACGGGAGAAAGUGGGGGAUCUUCGGACCUCACGCUAUCAGAUGAGCCUAGGUCGGAUUAGCUAGUUGGUGAGGUAAAGGCUCACCAAGGCGACGAUCCGUAACUGGUCUGAGAGGAUGAUCAGUCACACUGGAACUGAGACACGGUCCAGACUCCUACGGGAGGCAGCAGUGGGGAAUAUUGGACAAUGGGCGAAAGCCUGAUCCAGCCAUGCCGCGUGUGUGAAGAAGGUCUUCGGAUUGUAAAGCACUUUAAGUUGGGAGGAAGGGCAGUAAGUUAAUACCUUGCUGUUUUGACGUUACCAACAGAAUAAGCACCGGCUAACUUC